AGCCUAUGUUCCCUCUAAUAAGCAAUAUGCCAGCAAGAGUUGACAAAGUUUUAAUUUCCAAAGUCUUUGAUCUAAGAGUAUGACAUUCCCCUCCUUGGAUCCCGUUUUGAUCAGGCAAUAAAUGCAAAGUAAGUAUGCUUAAGAAUUUUUGCAAAUUAAAACAGCCUCAGUGAGAUAUAUAAAGGAUAAUGAGUGAUCUGAGAGAACCUAUGAGGAUAAAAAGGUAUGCUAGCUUUCUUUCAAAAUUAUACAAAAACUCCAAGU
rnacentral:lncRNA from 1 species